UAGGGAAUCUUCCACAAUGGACGAAAGUCUGAUGGAGCAACGCCGCGUGAGUGAAGAAGGUUUUCGGAUCGUAAAGCUCUGUUGUUGGUGAAGAAGGAUAGAGGCAGUAACUGGUCUUUAUUUGACGGUAAUCAACCAGAAAGUCACGGCUAACUACGUGCCAGCAGCCGCGGUAAUNCGUGGUGGCAAGCGUUGUCCGGAUUUAUUGGGCGUAAAGCGAGCGCAGGCGGAAUGAUAAGUCUGAUGUGAAAGCCCACGGCUCAACCGUGGAACUGCAUCGGAAACUGUCAUUCUUGAGUGCAGAAGAGGAGAGUGGAACUCCAUGUGUAGCGGUGGAAUGCGUAGAUAUAUGGAAGAACACCAGUGGCGAAGGCGGCUCUCUGGUCUGCAACUGACGCUGAGGCUGAAGCAUGGGUAGCGAACAGGAUUAGAUACCCUGGUAGUCCAUGCCGUAAACGAUGAGCGCUAGGUGUUGGGGACUUUCCGGUCCUCAGUGCCGCAGCAAACGCAUUAAGCGCUCCGCCUGGGGAGUACGACCGCAAGGUUGAAAC
rnacentral:rRNA from 1 species